rnacentral:rRNA from 1 species
CGCAGUGACAGGUGGUGCAUGGCUGUCGUCAGCUCGUGUCGUGAGAUGUUGGGUUAAGUCCCGCAACGAGCGCAACCCACGUCGUUAGUUGCCAGCAUUCAGUUGGGCACUCUAGCGAGACCGCCGGUGAUAAACCGGAGGAAGGUGUGGAUGACGUCAAGUCAUCAUGCCCCUUACAUCCUGGGCUACACACGUACUACAAUGCUACGGACAAAGGGCCGCAAGCUCGCGAGAGUUAGCAAAUCCCAUAAACCGUGGCUCAGUUCAGACCGUAGGCUGCAACUCGCCUACGUGAAGGAGGAAUCGCUAGUAAUCGCAGGUCAGCAUACUGCGGUGAAUACGUUCCCGGGCCUUGUACACACCGCCCGUCACACCAUGGAAGUGGCCACG